rnacentral:rRNA from 1 species
AGUGGCGGACGGGUGAGUAACGCGUGGGUAACCUCCCUCAUACAGGGGGAUAACAGUUAGAAAUGACUGCUAAUACCGCAUAAGCGCACAGAAUCGCAAUGAUAAUGUGUGAAAAACUCCGGUGGUAUGAGAUGGACCCGCGUCUGAUUAGCUAGUUGGUGGGGUAAAGGCCUACCAAGGCGACGAUCAGUAGCCGACCUGAGAGGGUGAUCGGCCACAUUGGGACUGAGACACGGCCCAAACUCCUACGGGAGGCAGCAGUGGGGAAUAUUGCACAAUGGGGGAAACCCUGAUGCAGCAACGCCGCGUGAGUGAAGAAGUAUUUCGAUAUGUAAAGCUCUAUCAGCAGGGAAGAAGAUGACGGUACCUGAGUAAGAAGCCCCGGCUAACUACGUGCCAGCAGCCGCGGUAAUACGUAGGGGGCAAGCGUUAUCCGGAUUUACUGGGUGUAAAGGGAGCGUAGACGGCAUAGCAAGUCUGAAGUGAAAGCCCAAGGCUCAACCAUGGGACUGCUUUGGAAACUGUUAAGCUAGAGUGCUGGAGAGGUAAGCGGAAUUCCUAGUGUAGCGGUGAAAUGCGUAGAUAUUAGGAAGAACACCAGUGGCGAAGGCGGCUUACUGGACAGUAACUGACGUUGAGGCUCGAAAGCGUGGGGAGCAAACAGGAUUAGAUACCCUGGUAGUCCACGCUGUAAACGAUGAAUGCUAGGUGUUGGGGAGCAAAGCUUCUCGGUGCCGCCGCAAACGCAAUAAGCAUUCCUCUUGGGGAGGAGGUUCGCAGGAAUGAAUAUAUCAAAGGAAUUGUCGGGGGCCCGCCCAAGCGGUGGUGCAUGUGGUUUAAUUAGAAGCAACGAGAAGAACCUUCCCACUUCUUGACAUCCUGGUGAAGCAUGUAGAAAUAUAUGUUUUUUUCGUAACACUGGAGACAGGUGGUGCUUGGUGGUCGUCAGCUGUUGUCGUGAGAUGUUGGGUUAAUUCCUCCAACGAGCGCAACCCUUAUUCUUAGUAGCCGGCAGGAAAAGCUGGGCUCUUUAGGGAGGCUGCCAGGGAUCACCUGGAGGAAGGGGGGGAUGACGUCAAAUCAUCAUCCCCCUUAUGAUUUGGGCUACACACGUGCUACAAUGGCGUAAACAAAGGGAGGCGAAGGAGCGAUCUGGAGCGAACCCCAAAAAUAUCGUCUCAGUUCGGAUUGCAGGCUGCAACCCGCCUGCAUGAAGCCGGAAUCGCUAGUAAUCGCAGAUCAGAAUGCUGCGGUGAAUAAGUUCCCGGGUCUUGCACACACCGCCCGUCA